GCCUUCAUAGCUCAGUUGGUAAUGCUUCUGUAGCACAGCCACUCCCUGGUGGAGUGGUCAAGGGUUCUACUCCCUGUGAAGGCA